UUUCACUGUGAUAUUUUGAAUGCUAACAUCUGUGAGCUUUGUCUCUUCACUGCAUGUUGUUUCCAGAUGUUCAUUCAGCAGCGUCUCUCACAGUGAGUCCUGACAGAGUGCAACACUUCACCUCUGACUCUGUCUCACUGACCUGUGAGGGAAACUUCACUGAGUGGAGAGUGAGGAAGUUCUCUGAGGGCGGCCGACUCUCUGACUGUAGGAGAAUGACUGGAUCCACAUGUAACAUCAACACAUCAAAGUCAGAUACUGGAGUGUACUGGUGUGAGUCUGGAUCAGGAGAGUUCAGCAGUGCAGUCAACAUCACCGUACAGAAUGAUGGUAAUGGUCCUAUCCUGGUGAGUCCUGUUCAUCCUGUGACUGAGGGAGCUUCUGUUAGUCUGAGCUGCAGUUUGAAAACACAAAAAAUACUUUCCAAUGUGUUUUUCUAUCACAAUGACAAACUUAUUCAAAAUGAUCCCCGAGGGGAGCUGAACAUCUCUGCAGUGUCAACGUCUGAUGAAGGUUUCUACAAGUGUCAGUACUCAGGAAGAGAGUCAGCACAGAGCUGGAUGUCAGUUAAAGUAACUGUGUCAGGAGCUGACAGCUCUUCAUCUCCUGUGUGGUUGAUGGUUGGACUGGUU